rnacentral:rRNA from 1 species
UACGAAGGGUGCUAGCGUUGCUCGGAAUCACUGGGCGUAAAGGGUGCGUAGGCGGGUCUUUAAGUCCGGGGUGAAAUCCUGGAGCUCAACUCCAGAACUGCCUUUGAUACUGAGGAUCUUGAGUUCGGGAGAGGUGAGUGGAACUGCGAGUGUAGAGGUGAAAUUCGUAGAUAUUCGCAAGAACACCAGUGGCGAAGGCGGCUCGCUGGCCCGAUACUGACGCUGAGGCACGAAAGCGUGGGGAGCAAACAGG